GAGGACCCCGAGGGUCCGUCAGUGUUUUUUUUUCUUCCAGUUAAGGACGUCAGUAUUUAAUGUUAAAGUGUGUGUGACCUUGACUUGCGGCGCCUGUGCAGACGGUUAGAUUGCUUUUGUGGGCAAUUCCACGCGCCGCCGACUGCGGACUCACACAGACGGUACAAAUCGAGAGCCAGAGGAAGUGGCUGCCCGGCGCUUCUCCCUCCAGUUGCUGCAUUUGCAAGCGACAAAGCAGAGGUUUUCUACGAGCCAGUUUAAGAGCACCGCCAAACCCUGGGGAUGUCGCACACCACAGCCGCGGCCCGCAGUUUGGCAGCGGACGAGAUCUCUGCCUGUCCCACCCCCCCGGGUGACGAAAGAUGCACGUCUGGAGCGAAGCAGCGGCCUUAACGAAUGCGAACACAUUCAACACUUCAUGCCAAUUACAGUCAUGAAAUUCCUCAUUCAAACCAUCUAUUAAUUGUAGGCUUAUCAUGCCUAUUAGUGUCGUCCUUAAUAUUCCGUAUUUUGAUUAGCAUAUGAUCCGCUGGAAAAAGCCGUUUUAUUAGAGCCAAUUAUAAUGAUGAAUGAAGAUUUCUCUGCCAAAAUUACAA